rnacentral:rRNA from 1 species
GAUGAACGCUAGCGGCAGGCUUAAUACAUGCAAGUCGAACGGCAGCACAGGAGAGCUUGCUCUCUGGGUGGCGAGUGGCGGACGGGUGAGGAAUACAUCGGAAUCUACUUUUUCGUGGGGGAUAACGUAGGGAAACUUACGCUAAUACCGCAUACGACCUACGGGUGAAAGCAGGGGACCUUCGGGCCUUGCGCGGUUGAAUGAGCCGAUGUCGGAUUAGCUAGUUGGCGGGGUAAAGGCCAACCAAGGCGCGGAUCCGUAGCUGGUCUGAGAGGAUGAUCAGCCACACUGGAACUGAGACACGGUCCAGACUCCUACGGGAGGCAGCAGUGGGGAAUAUUGGACAAUGGGCGCAAGCCUGAUCCAGCCAUACCGCGUGGGUGAAGAAGGCCUUCGGGUUGUAAAGCCCUUUUGUUGGGAAAGAAAUCCAGCUGGCUAAUACCCGGUUUGGAUGACGGUACCCAAAGAAUAAGCACCGGCUAACUUCGUGCCAGCAGCCGCGGUAACAC